UACGUAGGGUGCAAGCGUUGUCCGGAAUUAUUGGGCGUAAAGAGCUCGUAGGCGGUCUGUCGCGUCGGCUGUGAAAACUCGGGGCUUAACCCCGGGCCUGCAGUGGGUACGGGCAGACUAGAGUGCGGUAGGGGAGACUGGAAUUCCUGGUGUAGCGGUGAAAUGCGCAGAUAUCAGGAGGAACACCGGUGGCGAAGGCGGGUCUCUGGGCCGUAACUGACGCUGAGGAGCGAAAGCGUGGGGAGCGAACAGG
rnacentral:rRNA from 1 species